rnacentral:rRNA from 2 species
UUUCUUUACGCCGACCUCAGAGCAGGUGAGGU